rnacentral:rRNA from 1 species
CAGGAGGAUAGCCCGGGAAAACUCGGAUUAAUACUCCAUAAGAUUUUGAUGGGCAUCGAUUAAAAUUGAAAGAUUUAUUGGAUAAGAAUAGGCAUGCGUCAGAUUAGUUAGUUGGUAGUGUACCGGACUACCAAGGCGAUGAUCUGUAGGGGGCCUGAGAGGGUGACCCCCCACACUGGUACUGAGACACGGACCAGACUCCUACGGGAGGCAGCAGUGAGGAAUAUUGGACAAUGGAGGGAACUCUGAUCCAGCCAUCCCGCGUGCAGGAAGACGGCCCUAUGGGUUGUAAACUGCUUUUGUAUGGGGAUAAAUCUACCUACGUGUAGGUAGUUGAAGGUACCAUACGAAUAAGCAUCGGCUAACUCCGUGCCAGCAGCCGCGGUAAUACGGAGGAUGCAAGCGUUAUCCGGAUUCAUUGGGUUUAAAGGGUCCGUAGGCGGGCUGAUAAGUCAGUGGUGAAAUUUUGUCGCUCAACGAUAAAACUGCCAUUGAUACUGUUAGUCUUGAGUGAUAUUGAAGUAGCUGGAAUGUGUAGUGUAGCGGUGAAAUGCAUAGAUAUUACACAGAACACCGAUUGCGAAGGCAGGUUACUAAGUAUUAACUGACGCUGAAGGACGAAAGCGUGGGGAGCGAACAGGAUUAGAUACCCUGGUAGU